GUAUUGUAUUUCCAGCUUGUUACCCAACAACAUCAAAUGGUGUGUAGUAAUAAAAACAUCAUAGACCAAGGGAUUACUCCUUCAGUCUACAAAAGGGUGCACAGGUGAAUGAAGUGGUUCAGAGUGCACAAUGCUCCUCUUAGAGAGAAGCCAGCACAUCCUAUUGAGAAUCUAUAAUGAUCCUUCCGCAGGUUCACCUACGGAAA
rnacentral:misc_RNA from 1 species